ACGGCUCAGUAACACGUGGACAACCUACCCUAUGGAGGGGGAUAACCCCGGGAAACUGGGGAUAAUACCCCAUAGACUAUGAAUGCUGGAAUGCUUUGUAGUUGAAAGGUCCGCCGCCAUAGGAUGGGUCUGCGGCCGAUUAGGUUGUUGUUGGGGUAACGGCCCAACAAGCCUGUAAUCGGUACGGGUUGUGGGAGCAAGAGCCCGGAGAUGGAUUCUGAGACACGAAUCCAGGCCCUACGGGGCGCAGCAGGCGCGAAAACUUUACAAUGCGGGAAACCGUGAUAAGGGAACUCCGAGUGCCCGUAAAAUCGGGCUGUCCAUCUGUUUAAAUAACAGGUGAAGAAAGGGCCGGGCAAGACCGGUGCCAGCCGCCGCGGUAACACCGGCGGCUCAAGUGGUGGCCGCUAUUAUUGGGCUUAAAGGGUCCGUAGCCGGACCAGUUAGUCCCUUGGGAAAUCUUACGGCUUAACCGUAAGGCUGCCAAUGGAUACUGCUGGUCUUGGGACCGGGAGAGGCAAGAGGUACCUCAGGGGUAGGAGUGAAAUCCUGUAAUCCUUGAGGGACCGCCAGUGGCGAAGGCGUCUUGCUAGAACGGGUCCGACGGUGAGGGACGAAAGCUAGGGGCACGAACCGGAUUAGAUACCCGGGUAGUCCUAGCCGUAAACGAUGCGAGCUAGGUGUCACGUGGAUUGCGAAUCCAUGUGGUGCCGUAGGGAAACCGUGAAGCUCGCCGCCUGGGAAGUACGGCCGCAAGGCUGAAACUUAAAGGAAUUGGCGGGGGAGGAG
rnacentral:rRNA from 1 species